GAUGAAAACGUAGCGAAAUGCGAUAAGUAAUGUGAAUUGCAGAAUUCAGUGAAUCAUCGAAUCUUUGAACGCACAUUGCGCCCGCUAGUAUUCUGGCGGGCAUGCCUGUUCGAGCGUCAUUUCAACCAUCAAGCCCCAGGCUUGUGUUGGGGGCCUGCGGCUGCCGCAGCCCCUGAAAAGCAGUGGCGGGCUCGCUGUCAUUCCGAGCGCAGUAGUUACAUCUCGCUCCGGGCGUGGCGGUGGGCACCUGCCGUGAAACACUCCUUCUAAGGUUGACCUCGGAUCAGGUAGGAAUACCCGCUGAACUUAAGCAUAUCAAUAAGCGGAGGA
rnacentral:misc_RNA from 1 species